AAAAAGGUAAGCUAAGCAAGCUUAUAGGUUCAUACCCUGUCCAUGAAAGUAUUGACCUUUCCCUUUUUA
rnacentral:tRNA from 1 species